UAAACAUUUCAUAAAGCAGUCACUGUCAGCCAGAUGAUUUUGCAGGAGAGAUGUUAACUUUACUCUUCUUCUGUUUGUUUUUAAUCACUGGGGGAGAUGGAAUUACAGUGAAACAGACCCCACAACGUACCUUCAGCAGAAUAGGGAACUCUGAAGUGAUAAAAUGUGUGCACGAUGAUGCAGCAUACUAUCAAAUGUACUUCUACCGACAGCUCCCAGAUGAAGGAAUCCGGUUAAUCGUGUACUCAGCUCAGGGCAGCGAACCACAGCAUGAACCUGGAUUCAGCAAGGAGAAAUAUGAAAUCAUUCAUAAUGUAGCAACUAAUGGAACUCUGACAAUCAAGAGCCUGGAAGCAUCAGACAGUGCAAUGUAUUUUUGCGCAGCAAGUAAACACAAUGACACAAUUAAACUUUGCUGUCAGCCAAAAAGCUUGCAAUCUUAA